GUCACAAAGCUAGGAAGUAGCAAUUUUCGAAUCAGAUUCUGAGUCUCCUGAUUCCUCCCUUUGGCAUUCUUCUUUCCACUAGAACACUUGGCACCUAUUGUCUCAGAGCCUGAUUGUAGGCACCCCCAACUAAUUUCUGGUAAGUAGAUAUAAUCAUCUCAUCUGUAUUUUACAAGAUGGCGCAUCAGAAUAACCAUCUGUCAUCAAGCGGCUGCAUCUUCUGCUCUCUCUAGAGAUGGAAUAAACACGCCACCAUAGCAAACCAGAAAAAUAAGCAGUGGAGUGAUCCCAAGGACAAUGGGGUUCCUGAGGUGGACAGGAAGUUGCCUACAGCUGUUUCUGUGAAUGUUUUUGGAGAAGAGGAGGUAACUGACAGAAAAGACUUCCAGCAAUCCUCAGCAAGGGAAAGAAAUUGACAGAC
rnacentral:lncRNA from 1 species